rnacentral:misc_RNA from 1 species
UACGGAGGGUGCGAGCGUUGUUCGGAAUUACUGGGCGUAAAGCGCGGGCAGGUGGCCUUUUAAGUCCUUUGUGAAAUCCCGGGGCUCAACUCCGGAUGUGCAGAGGAUACUGGAUGGCUAGAGAUUGGUAGAGGCAAGCGGAAUUCCUGGUGUAGCGAUGGAAUGCGUAGAUAUCAGGAAGAACACCGGUGGCGAAGGCGGCUUGCUGGGCCAAAUCUGACACUCAUCCGCGAAAGCGUGGGGAGCAAACAGG